rnacentral:tRNA from 1 species
GUUUCUGUGGCGCAAUCGGUUAGCGCGUUCGGCUGUUAACCGAAAGGUGAUGGUUCAAAUCCAUCCAGAAACG